UACGUAGGGGGGCAAGCGUUUGUCCGGAAUCAUUGGGCGUAAAGAGCGUGUAGGCGGCUUGGUAAGUCCGCUGUGAAAGUCCAGGGCUCAACCCUGGAAUGCCGGUGGAAACUGCCAAGCUAGAGUCCGGAAGAGGCGAGUGGAAUUCCUGGUGUAGCGGUGAAAUGCGCAGAUAUCAGGAGGAACACCAAUGGCGAAGGCGGUUCUCUGGGAAUGUUCUGACGCUGAGGAGCGAAAGUGUGGGGAGCGAACAGG
rnacentral:rRNA from 1 species